rnacentral:rRNA from 1 species
CUUUUACAAUGAAGAGUUUGAUCCUGGCUCAGGAUGAACGCUAGCUACAGGCUUAACACAUGCAAGUCGAGGGGCAGCAUUUCAGUUUGCUUGCAAACUGGAGAUGGCGACCGGCGCACGGGUGAGUAACACGUAUCCAACCUGCCGAUAACUCGGGGAUAGCCUUUCGAAAGAAAGAUUAAUACCCGAUGGUAUAAUCAGACCGCAUGGUCUUAUUAUUAAAGAAUUUCGGUUAUCGAUGGGGAUGCGUUCCAUUAGGCAGUUGGUGAGGUAACGGCUCACCAAACCUUCGAUGGAUAGGGGUUCUGAGAGGAAGGUCCCCCACAUUGGAACUGAGACACGGUCCAAACUCCUACGGGAGGCAGCAGUGAGGAAUAUUGGUCAAUGGACGAGAGUCUGAACCAGCCAAGUAGCGUGAAGGAUGACUGCCCUAUGGGUUGUAAACUUCUUUUAUAUGGGAAUAAAGUUUUCCACGUGUGGAAUUUUGUAUGUACCAUAUGAAUAAGGAUCGGCUAACUCCGUGCCAGCAGCCGCGGUAAUACGGAGGAUCCGAGCGUUAUCCGGAUUUAUUGGGUUUAAAGGGAGCGUAGGUGGACAGUUAAGUCAGUUGUGAAAGUUUGCGGCUCAACCGUAAAAUUGCAGUUGAUACUGGCUGUCUUGAGUACAGUAGAGGUGGGCGGAAUUCGUGGUGUAGCGGUGAAAUGCUUAGAUAUCACGAAGAACUCCGAUUGCGAAGGCAGCUCACUGGACUGCAACUGACACUGAUGCUCGAAAGUGUGGGUAUCAAACAGGAUUAGAUACCCUGGUAGUCCACACAGUAAACGAUGAAUACUCGCUGUUUGCGAUAUACAGUAAGCGGCCAAGCGAAAGCAUUAAGUAUUCCACCUGGGGAGUACGCCGGCAACGGUGAAACUCAAAGGAAUUGACGGGGGCCCGCACAAGCGGAGGAACAUGUGGUUUAAUUCGAUGAUACGCGAGGAACCUUACCCGGGCUUAAAUUGCAUUUGAAUAUAUUGGAAACAGUAUAGUCGUAAGACAAAUGUGAAGGUGCUGCAUGGUUGUCGUCAGCUCGUGCCGUGAGGUGUCGGCUUAAGUGCCAUAACGAGCGCAACCCUUAUCUUUAGUUACUAACAGGUCAUGCUGAGGACUCUAGAGAGACUGCCGUCGUAAGAUGUGAGGAAGGUGGGGAUGACGUCAAAUCAGCACGGCCCUUACGUCCGGGGCUACACACGUGUUACAAUGGGGGGUACAGAAGGCAGCUACCUGGUGACAGGAUGCUAAUCCCAAAAGCCUCUCUCAGUUCGGAUCGAAGUCUGCAACCCGACUUCGUGAAGCUGGAUUCGCUAGUAAUCGCGCAUCAGCCAUGGCGCGGUGAAUACGUUCCCGGGCCUUGUACACACCGCCCGUCAAGCCAUGAAAGCCGGGGGUACCUGAAGUACGUAACCGCAAGGAGCGUCCUAGGGUAAAACUGGUAAUUGGGGCUAAGUCGUAACAAGGUAGCCGUACCGGAAGGUGCGGCUGGAACACCUCCUUU